ensembl:snRNA U6 U6 spliceosomal RNA
AUGCUUGCUUCAGCAGCAUAUGUUCUAAAAUUGGAACAAUAUAGAGAUUAACAUGGCCCCUACAUGAAGAUAACAUGCAAAUCUGUGAAGCGGUAGUCCAUUUU